UACGUAGGGGGCGAGCGUUGUCCGGAUUUAUUGGGCGUAAAGAGCUCGUAGGCGGUUUGGCAAGUCGGGUGUGAAAACUCCGGCUCAACUCGGAGACGCCACUCGAUACUGCCAUGACUCGAGUCCGGUAGGGGAGUGGCGGAAUUCCUGGUGAGCGGUGAAAUGCGCAGAUAUCAGGAGGAACACCAAUGGCGAAGGCAGCUCGCUGGGACGGUACUGACGCUGAGACGCGAAAGCGUGGGGAGCAAACAGG
rnacentral:rRNA from 1 species